GAUGAAGAACGGAGCGAAAUGCGAUAAGUAAUGUGAAUUGCAGAAUUCAGUGAAUCAUCGAAUCUUUGAACGCACCUUGCACUCCUUGGUAUUCCGAGGAGUACGCCUGUUCGAGUGUUAUGAAGCUCUCAAAACGCAAUUGGCUUAAAACCUGAUUGUUGUUUUGGAUUUGAACUUUGCCGUGUUAUAACGGCUGGUUUUAAAAGUAUUAGCUGGUACUAGAACGAAUUGGUUCUACUCAACGUGAUAAUUAUCUGAUCGUUGAGGACAUUCCUUUCACGAGGAAUGGCCAUAGUAAAUUCAAUGGACUGCUUCUAAUCUGGCUUUAAUUCUUUAUUGGAUUAACCACUUUUCAAAUCUGACCUCGAAUCAGGUGGGACUACCCGCUGAACUUAAGCAUAUCAAUAAGCGGAGGA
rnacentral:misc_RNA from 1 species